GACGACAAAGGCAAACCCGUCGCGAGGCGGGGACGCAAAGCCAUGGGACCCCCGCGGUCAGCCAGGCCACCGAAC
rnacentral:ncRNA from 1 species